AUGUAAAAACCCCAAAAUGGACGCCACCGUCGUCGCCAUCGCCGGCGGCGGAGAUGACUCCGUCCGGCGCCCCCUCGUCUCCCUGACCGAAGAGAUCCACCCCUAUGCCGAACCCCCUUCCCCCCAGCGCCCGCUUCUGGACGCCGCGGCGGCGCAGCCCGAGCAGCAGCGGGUGGCCUCGCUGGACGUGUUCCGUGGCUUCACCGUCGCCAUGAUGAUACUCGUGGACGACGCGGGCGGGGCGUGUCCGGGUAUCAACCACGCGCCGUGGUUCGGGGUGACGGUGGCGGACUUCGUCAUGCCCGCCUUCCUCUUCAUCAUCGGCGUCUCCGCGGCACUCGCCUUCAAGGUAGAACACUGAACUAUGGGUAGCUACUAGCUGCUCACUGCUGCAAAUUUCUGUAAUAAGCACUUCAAGAAUCAAUCGGCCAAGCUGCAGAGAAUGGUGAAUGCUUGAGUAGUUGAGUUUAUUAUCUUAAUAGUUUGUCCGUGUGUAGUGUAUGCUGAACCGGGCCAUCGGCUGCCCUGGUUCAUUGAUUCCGCUAUUUGGGUUUGGGGAUUAUUUAGAUGUCUGGCUCUCACUGAAAUGAAGGGGAACUUUCAGAGAAUUCGGUUGCUACGCGAUUUCCAUGUACGAUUGGUGCAUCAACUUUUGUGAGGAAGUCCACUUUACUUGUCAAUCACGCCCAGCGUAAAGUUUGAGUACCUGCAAAAGUUUAUGCUACUGCAAAGGCUACUGGACUCUUGUAGUCUUGUGUACCUCUUCAAUGCAAACCCAUUGAUUUUGGCUACCUUUUCUGCUUGAAGUGGGUGAAUCGUUUCAUUUUCAGCUUCUAUGUCAACUAGGAAAAUAUGGUUACCUGUCAAGAUUGUUCUGGCACGGUCAUGGGUUAUGGAAGGAAUGCUAACUCUACAUGGUUCCUAAGAACAAUACAGUUCGUUUGUAUUUCUUCCAUUGGAUGUUUGGUGCUUUUUGUGUAUUUGACCAGUGACAACCUUUUAUAGAAUAGGAUCUCACAAUUGUAGAUGCUGAACUGCAGAAAAUGCCAAAUAAGACGGCAUCAACUAAGAAGGCUGUGGCUAGGGCUAUCAAGCUUGAUUUUGUAAGGUUAUACUUGCCCCCCUACUUUUCUGUUCUUAAUGCAAAGAUACAGUUCUGCAUGUUCUCGAAAAAUAUACUUGCCCCUACUUUGACGACUUGCCCAUAUCAGCCCAUUAUUUUCAUUUAUUUUGGGUCGGUUUGUCUUUGUUAUGGUUUUUUUACUUGUUGGAUGAUACAUUCAUGGACGACAUAAACUAACAUAUAGUGUCGAUUUGGAGCAAAUUUGAUGGCUACUUAGGUGUGCAGCAGCCAGCAGGUGAUAGAUCAACCACAUAUUUUCUAUCUAAGUUGUAUAUUCCAUUUCUUUUCUAUUUAUAUACUGUUUGAACUUCUUAUUGAUAUCAUGUUCUUUGAAUUUGGUACAUACUUUGUUGCAACAAUUUCAGAGAUUUGUCUUGUCAAGAAUAAUUUGGUAGAUUCAUCUGUAUCAUUUAUGAAGAAAUACUUCAUGGAGUGGUUAGUCAAUAUGGGCAACAUUUUGAUCCGGAAAAGUUUGUUUCUAUCCUUUUGAUGUUUUGACAAAUCAUUACUCAGCAUUUAAGAAAUAUAUACUUUAAAUUCUAUCCUAGUUCUACAGUAUGAUCCUAUGCCCUGUCCCCCACCCCCACCCCCACUCCCACCCGGACACACCACCAACACCGGUGUAGUUGGAGUUCUUCAUCUCCAAUAUCACCUGAAUGUCGGAAGCAGUGAAUUGUUAUUUUCAAUCUAAAAGUAAUCAGGUCUCAGUACAAACACAAUGACAAGUACUUGGCUAAGAAUCAUGACAAUCUCACUACAUUCCUCUCACACCUAAGAAAUUGUACUAUAUUAAUCUAUACUAGCUAUAGGAUUGUUUGGACCAUUUCCUUUGCUGUCAGUUUUUGAGGACUUUGGACCUCCAGGGGUUAGGUUGUGCUUGGAGUCCACCAGCAGGACCGGUAAUUUCUUUCUGAAACCAUCAAUAUCCUCCUACACGUCAGGUACACAAAAUGAUUGUUAGGGAAAAUAUGUUAAUGUUGGAACAAUAUUUUGGUUUAAAAUCAAAUGUGUAUAGAGUACCUGUGUAAAAUUGGGAGAUAACUCCAUACCUGUCCAGCAUUCCAUAUACUUGAGCAUGAAUAAACCGCAAGAUGAUCUACAUUAUUGGGACAUUUUUAGUGAUAAAUUUAUCAAGUAACAAGAGCUAAUAGUAUUAUAAGAAGUGAUGGCAUUCAAUGUAUACCCAUCUGUCUGCAUUUGGCUUUUCACUUCGUCUCUAACCUCCCACGGACUGGAAGUAAAGUUGAAAUUCGGCCAACUGUGCUGCUUAGACCUGUUAUCUUCUAGUAUCUUUUCCAUAUAAUUCUCCAGUCCUAUCAGCUGUUAGUGGCAAUUAUUAGCAACCAAGGUACAGCAUGUGGAAUAAUCUUGACAGGGGAUGGGUAUUAUGUAAAUACCGUAGUUCUGAGUUCAUCCCGUUUCUUUUGAGGCCCUAGUGAGUCGAGGACCUGUAUCUUUCGUAGUUUGGUGUUGAUAACUGCUAAGUACCAAUGUGCAUUCGUGAUAUUUAUUGGCAAGAAAACCUGGAGCAAGCCUAUUUUAUUGGCAAGAAAACCUGGAGCAAGCCUAUUUUAAGUUAUAUAAAUAAUCAUUGAAUUAACAAGGAAGGGUUGCUAGUGUUACCAUAUCGUGCUCGAGAUAUUCUUCUACAUGCGCUUCAACCCAUGAAGACAAAUCUGGUUUGCCAUGUUUUCGUAGACUUGUACCGUUUUCUUUUAAACGCUGGAUAUUCAAGGUAAACUUUUGCGUGGUCUCUAUUUCUUAAACGAUCAUCCUCCCGUAGGCAGCUGAUAUAUGCUGUAAUGAUCUUUAGUUGCAAAUAAGAUUCAUCGUUAGAUUAGAUAUUUAUGUUGAAAUAUGACAAUUGACUAUUAAUGUACUUACAUCUUGCUUUAGCCACGUGCCUUGUUGUGUGAUUUCUUUUAAAUCUUCUGCUUCUAAUAAGAUCUUGUCGAUAUUCACCAAUCUUUGUUCUUUGUCUGAGGAAUUGAUGUAUUUCAGAGUUUCCUUAUCUUGUUCGGUGCACCCAAAAUCUGCCUUAUCUGUGCAAGUAAGGUUGAGAAUAAUUAUAAUUACAUAUUCAAAGAAUGAACCAAAAGUAAUAGGAGAAGAACAUGUACAUACCUUGUAUGGAAAUAGGUGUUUGAUAAUACUUACAUGCAUCAUUCUUGUCUUUAAUUGGUUUUAACAUGUUUGAAGAAGGCCUUAUCUGAAUGUCUGAUUGGUCAUUCAACUUCUUCCUCUUGCGUUUAUCCUUCAAGAGGUGUUGGCAGGUUAAAAUACGUUAUAUUACUGAAAAAAAACUUAAACAAACAAAGAUGAGAAAUUCGACUACCUUUUCUGGUGAAGUGUCUUUGCCAACAGUUUUUGCAAUUUCUUGUCUAUUCUUAAGAACGGAUUCAUCGUUAUCAGGCACAUCUGAAUCUGACUUUCCCGUGUUGGACUUGAAAGCUGCUUGGUGUUGCCUCCCACUCUACAAAAUCGAGUUUAGUCGGGGUUGUGAGUAGACAAGAUUAUUGAGUAUAGUAGGUAUGUAAAUAACGUACAUAAUUGUCAUAUGGACACGUAGACUUACCCGGACUUCUCUUUCCAAGGAAACAAUGCAGUUUAACAUCGACCGAUAGGAGCUCUUAACUUCUGUCAUCAUGCGACGAGUGUCAUGCAGCAUCUUAUGCUGAUUUACCAUUACCGCCUUUAUACCUAGAAUUUCCUGUAUACAGUAAUCUAGAUAUUGUGAGGGUGAGGCAUAAAUUGGGUGUAAUUUGAUGUACGCGAUAUAACGGAAUACCUCAUCGAGAUCUUCAUCCACCACUUAGUAGUUUAGAGAUAGAUAGUGAGGCGAGGUAUAAAUAAAUUAAAUCGGGUGUAGUUUGAUAUUAUGAUUAAAAGAAGGAAAUAUAUAUACCUGCUCGGCAUCAUUAUCUACCUCUUCUUCUUCUUCCGGUCUUAUGUGUUUCUCUUGGGUAUAACCACGCACAAUGCUACUGACGUGUGCCAUUUUCUCAGAUGGUAGCCUACCACACAUGGGCGUUGCCAGCACAUUUCUCGCCAUCUCAGCCACAGUCGGGUACUGUCUGAUGCCGUGAUCCCUCCACCAGCCCAGAACGUCGAAGAAGGCCUCUGUUUGAGGAGCCGCAUCGUCCUCCAGCUCCAGGUAACUGUCCAACUCAUUCCCCCCCUGAGCGUAGUCAGUGUAGAGAUCAUGCAUCUUCCCUUUUACCUCGGCGAUUUUGUUUUGUGCCUCCUCCUUUGAGCCAAAUACACUUUCGAAGAUUGGUGUUGUUCUGAGUUUGUGUCGUGGGUCAAGUGCAAGAGGAAUGGCCCACAGCAGGCCCAAGAUCUGAAGCGGGACAGGUGGAGGUGGAGAUUCUCUGAAUGGCGCUGUGUAUCUCCCCCCAAACCUCGCACACAAGGCUGACAAACGAUUUGGAGCCGUCCACUGCAUUCAAGCCUCCCAAGUGCAUGGUUUUCAGAGUACAAUACCAGGAGUACCACUGCUCACCGUACUCCAAGGGGGAAUCGAGGCGCAGGUACGGGAGGAGCCAUUCGCGCUUCCUUCUGUUCAUGUUGUAGAUCUGAACGUCACCGAAGACCUCAUUGGUGAACUCUCGAUCUAGACCAAGGCAUCGAGCAGUGGAGUGAAGCACGCUGUCAAUGUAGGUUGCAUCAGUCUCGAGCGCUUUGCUCAUGUGACUCGCUGGAGUAAUACUGAGCUCCAGACAGUCGGCCACGACACGCUCGGGCAACAUUUGAGGAGUGACCUCAUUGACCCCGAUCAAGGGGUCGUGGUAGCCGAUUGCAGGUGCAACCACGUAGGCAUCCAGCAGCACCCUGUGAAGCUUCCAUUGAUCAUCGAUGAAGUGGCAUGCUGUAUAUAUGGCUUCGCCCCUGAUGGUCUGGGCUCUGCCCACCGCCAAGGUGACCCGGCCAGGGGAGCUUCUCAGCUUGGAUUUCAAGCUCUCCUGGGCUUCGGCAACGAUGCCGUCGCACAUGCCCGAGAUGGCAUCGCGCGUCGGCAGACUGUAUCCGGGGUUGACGCUCCUCAGGAAGCUCUUGAAGUGCUCGUUGUCCAAGAGCGAGGGAUCGUAUCCGCCUAGAACGAAUAACUGGGCGAGGUGCCUUGUGCCUUGUUCCAGUCCAGGUCCAGGCUCGCCACCUGAUGAUCCUCCUGGGCGAGACGGAGCCGGCACUGUCGCAACAUCUUCGUGUGCCUUCUUCUCUUGGACACGCUGCACUCUACCUCCUCUUCCUGCUCUUCUUUGUCCCUCCACCUCCUCCUCCUCCUCCUGGGCGCCGCACUGGACUACUCCAUCUUCACCUCCGCUCCCUCUUUCUUGUUUCUUGUUUCUUCUCUUGGGCCUCUUCUUUUCCGAGCAGUUCAGCAUAAAGUUCCGGGUGUUUGCACUUUAGAUGAUUCCUGACACCGCUGGUGCCGUCUCUCUUGCUGUCUGCUUUAUAAAUUUUUUUGCACU